UACGAAGGGGGCUAGCGUUGUUCGGAAUUACUGGGCGUAAAGCGCGCGUAGGCGGCUUUGCAAGCCAGGGGUGAAAUGCCUGAGCUCAACUUGGGAAUUGCCUUUGGGACUGUGAGGCUUUGAGGACUGGAGAGGUGAGUGGAAUUCCCAGUGUAGAGGUGAAAUUCGUAGAUAUUGGGAAGAACACCGGUGGCGAAGGCGGCUCACUGGCCAGUUUCUGACGCUGCAGCGCGAAAGCGUGGGGAUCAAACAGG
rnacentral:rRNA from 1 species